UGUGGAGCAGUUUGGCCGUCCAGGUGUUGCCUGCAGGGUCGUCACACGUCCAGAUAAAUACUCGUCCAUCCUGGAAGAAUGGAAAACAAUUUCCCACAUAACCCCAGUGGAAGAAAAACAGAAAUGGUGCUGGAAAGCAGAAUAAAUUGCAUGUUCUGCAUUUGUAAUCACAUCAAAUCUCACCUGAGAGCAGCUGGCAAUGGUGCUGGUGGGAAGACCAAUAGAUGGAGCCCAGCCAACAUCUCUCACCCAAUCACUGUGAGCCUCCAGCUUCUGAUCCUCCUUCCACUGCCCAUCCUCCUCUCUGCAG